AUUGAACGCUGGCGGCAGGCCUAACACAUGCAAGUCGAGCGAGCGGCGGACGGGUGAGUAAUAUCUGGGAAACUGCCUGAUGGAGGGGGGUAACUACUGGAAACGGUAGCUAAUACCGCAUACCAUCAGAUGUGCCCAGAUGGGAUUAGCUAGUAGGUGGGGUAAUGGCUCACCUAGGCGACAAUCCCUAGCUGGUCUGAGAGGAUGACAAGCCACACUGGAACUGAGACACGGUCCAGACUCUUACGGGAGGCAGAAGGGGGGAAGAUUGCACAAUUGGCGCAAGCCUGAUGCAGCCAUGCGGCGUGUAUGAAGAAGGCCUUCGGGUUGUAAAGUACUUUCAGCGAGGAGGCGUGACUCGCAGAAGAAGCACCGGCGAACUCCGUGCCAGCAGCCGCGGUAAUAC
rnacentral:rRNA from 1 species